GAUGAAACUGGAAAGGUUUUUUGGGGCCAUAUCUGGAGCAGAGCUUGAAUCUUAAAGAGAGUUAAAAAUGUUUGGAGAGACUGCAGUGUGGGAUGAGCAGUGAGUCAGCAGGGGAGAAUUCAAAGAAGUGCUGAGCAGACGCGAUGGUGCGGCUAGGAUGAAUCUGUGGCAGGCUCAAUCAGCACAGCUUUCUCCAGCGACACUGCUCAGCCCGACAAGGAAGCAACUGGGAGUUCAAGGUGUAGAACUCUCACUGCUUCUCCAGCACCAUGUCUGCCAAGUGCUACCACACUUCCUACCAUAAUGACAAUGGACCAAACCUUCAAACUGAUGUCUCAUUGAAGAGCUACCCAGCUGAAGGACCUGCGGAAGACAAAGUGGGACUUUGCUACUGCCCUUGAACUUGAAGAUGCCACGAAGUUUCCUAUUCUGUCCUUUGGAGAAGAAAUCUUCAUGAAGAAAGGGAGAUGCUUCUCCUGCCAGACCCUGAGAGGGAGCAGACAUCACUUGUUUAUGGUCCUGAGCCUUCAAUAACAAGCUCUAUUACCAGAGUGGAAAAAAAGAAUAGAUCUUUUGUUUGAGGCCAGGGAAGGGACUAUGUCUGCCCCGCCCCCCCAUAGGGAAUCCCCAGGGGUCAAAUGCAGGACAGUGGAUUCUGAAAGGAGAGGAUGUUCUUCAGCACAGCAUGCAGGGGAGAGGAUGGUGUGUGAAAUCCAAGGAUGAGCACCAAGAUAGAAGUUAUGAGAAAACCACUCCUAUCAAGAAUCAUCCCAGACUAUGGGUCUGUGCAGUAGAGCAUGGUAACAGAUAACAGUCUCAAAGCACAGAGGGCAUGAGGCACAUGAGUCUUUGUAAGAAAGGAAAUUUCCUACAAAGAACUUCUGUGGCACUUUAGAGUUCUUCUGAAAAGGGAAGGGAGUAUUCUGAGAGUGUGAUGUUGAAGUUCAAGACCAUUGAAAAGAUCAGAUUUCAGCCAGUUCUGAAACAACUCAAACUGAAAGCAAAUGACAGUGACUGCAUCCCAAGUGUUAUAGAAUCCAUCAUGACUGACACUUUCCAGUCAUGGCUGCCAAGUAAAGACUCUUACAGUCAACAGUUGUCAGGGUGAUCAGUUUCACGAGUAACAACUCUAGACAUCAAUAAAGUGUGAGGACAAAGUAAAGUAGCAUAUUGCUGACCUGCAGUGUGGAAUAUAACAGUCUGGUGAGGGAUAUGAAAUCCAAGGAAUAGGCUGUAUGUGGUACCCAUUCAGUCAUUUUACUGAAUUCCCCCUUUUUUUCAUUUCAAAUACUGUGCUACACAUUAAGAACACAAAAUGUACUUUAUCAGUAGCUAUCGGCUUCCUGGCAUUGAAGAGAAAGAGAUUUUUAAAAAAAACAUGUAAAUGCUGUAGGUCAGUUGAGGAAGUUAAAGCAAAGUGGGUAAGUUUAUGAGUUUGAGAGUCAAGUCCAUCCAGAAUUAUAUUAUCCUGUGUUCUUCGGAAAAUCUUAUAAAGCUUUUGAAUCUCAUUUUCUUUAUCAGCGAUACCUGAAUUGCAGAAUAUAAACAUUCACUAGAUGUUAGUUGUUGCUGCUGUUAAAAGUAAAGUAUAUAUUCAUGAGGUGAUUAAUUCUAUCUGUAUGGUUAUAGAAAGCUUCAAACAGAAAUGCAUUUGAAUUUUAUUGUGUGGGAUAAAUAUGAUUCCCCAGGAAGAAAGGAAAGGAACAGCAUUCCAAGCAAUGAACAACAUGGCUGAAGUCACAAAGACACUAAGGUAUUGGGAAGGAGGCUGAAAUGAUGAUAAAAUGUAGGAUGGGCUAUAGAGUAGAAGACCGCAUAGCUUCUAAACAAUGAGCAACUGCAGAAUGCUAGAGUAAAAAGGAUGCAGCAGUUUUUGAUUUGUUACUAUCAAGAAACACCUUUGUCAGGCUAUUUCAUGAAGAAAUAAAUUUAUUCUGGCUUACACCUUACCUGAAGGCAUAAGGUUAAGGAGCUGCAUUUGGUAAUACUUUCCUGUUGGAGGAGUCCUGCCAAGACGUAGAAAAUUACAAGUCAAGAGAUGGGGGAGGAGGCAUGCUUUCUGGUCUCUCUUUUUCCGAAGUCACAAUUCAGUAGUGGGGAUUCCAUCUGGAUAUCUAAUCCUAAUCACCUUUGAAAGGAAGCAUCUCCAAUCACCAUAGUCAAAUUACGUUCCUCCUUCUCAGCAUGUUAAUAUGGAGAUUAAGUCUCAACA